rnacentral:rRNA from 1 species
GACGAACGCUGCGGCGUGCUUAAUACAACAAGUAGAACGCUGAAGCUUGGUGCUUGCACCGAGCGGAUGAGUUGCGAACGGGUGAGUAACGCGUAGGUAACCUGCCUGGUAGCGGGGGAUAACUAUUGGAAACGAUAGCUAAUACCGCAUAAAAUGGAUUAUCGCAUGAUAAUCCAUUGAAAGGUGCAAAUGCAUCACUACCAGAUGGACCUGCGUUGUAUUAGCUAGUUGGUGGGGUAACGGCUCACCAAGGCGACGAUACAUAGCCGACCUGAGAGGGUGAUCGGCCACACUGGGACUGAGACACGGCCCAGACUCCUACGGGAGGCAGCAGUAGGGAAUCUUCGGCAAUGGACGGAAGUCUGACCGAGCAACGCCGCGUGAGUGAAGAAGGUUUUCGGAUCGUAAAGCUCUGUUGUAAGAGAAGAACGAGUGUGAGAGUGGAAAGUUCACACUGUGACGGUAUCUUACCAGAAAGGACGGCUAA